rnacentral:rRNA from 1 species
AUUGAACGCUGGCGGCAGGCCUAACACAUGCAAGUCGAGCGGAGCGGCGGACGGGUGAGUAAUGCCUAGGAAUCUGCCUGGUAGUGGGGGAUAACGUCCGGAAACGGGCGCUAAUACCGCAUACUAUCAGAUGAGCCUAGGUCGGAUUAGCUAGUUGGUGGGGUAAAGGCCUACCAAGGCGACGAUCCGUAACUGGUCUGAGAGGAUGAUCAGUCACACUGGAACUGAGAUACGGCCCAGACUCCUACGGGAGGCAGCAGUGGGGGAUAUUGCACAAUGGGCGCAAGCCUGAGGCAGCGACGCCGCGUGAGGGAUGAAGGCUUUCGGGUUGUAAACCUCUUUCGGUACAGAACGGGUAUGUGCAGAAGAAGCGCCGGCUAACUACGUGCCAGCAGCCGCGGUAAUAC